rnacentral:rRNA from 1 species
CUUUAAUGGAGAGUUUGAUCCUGGCUCAGGACGAACGCUGGCGGCGUGCCUAAUACAUGCAAGUCGAGCGGGGUUGAUUAGAAGCUUGCUUCUAAUCAACCUAGCGGCGGACGGGUGAGUAACACGUAGGCAACCUGCCCACAAGACAGGGAUAACUACCGGAAACGGUAGCUAAUACCCGAUACAUCCUUUUCCUGCAUGGGAGAAGGAGGAAAGACGG